rnacentral:tRNA from 1 species
AGGGGAGAGGUCAAGUGGUCAAAAUCGAUAUACUACAAAUUUGUUGAAGUUAUUUAUGCAGGUUCAAAUCCUGUCUCUCUCA